rnacentral:tRNA from 1 species
GCCGCUAUCGUCUAACGGUUAGGACACAGGGUUCUCAAUCCUAUAAUCGGGGUUCGAUUCCCCGUAGCGGUACCA